CAACCAUCUCGUCCUCUGUCGUCCCCUUCUCCUUGUGCCCUCCAUCUUUCCCAACAUCAGGGUCUUUUCCAGGGAGUCUUCUCUUCUCAUGAGGUGGCCAAAGUCUUGGAGCCUCAGCUUCAGGAUCUGUCCUUCCAGAGAGCACUCAGGGCUGAUUUCCUUCAGAAUGGAGAGGUUUGAUCUUCUUGCAGUCCAUGGGACUCUCAAGAGUCUCCUCCAGCACCAGAAUUCAAAAGCAUCCAUUCUUCAGCGAUCAGCCUUCUUUAUGGUCCAGCUCUUACUUCCAUACAUCACUACUGGGAAAACCAUAGCUUUAACUAUACGGACCU
rnacentral:lncRNA from 1 species